GCUAUUUAAGCCAAAAAACCUUCAAAAAAUUUUCAUUUUUUCCCUUUAAAAAAAAAACAUAAAAUACUCUCCCCUCCCCUCUUCUCCUCUGAGCACCGACCCAAAGUCUGGCGAAGGGGCCAUCGCAUCGGUCGUCGGUCUCCGACGACGGCGCUACCGUGUGAGAUGGCCGAAAAAGGAGAAAACCUCUGACAUGGUCUUUUCAAACCCCCUAAACCCGAAUCUUG
rnacentral:lncRNA from 1 species